CAAAAACAUGUCCUAUUGAAUUUAAUAUUAGGUUUACCUGCCCAAUGAUAAAUUAAAUUUAAAUGGCCGCAGUAUUUUAACUGUGCAAAGGUAGCAUAAUCAUUAGUCUUUUAAUUAAAGGCUUGUAUGAAUGGUUGGACGAGAUGUAGACUGUAUCAUAAUUAAAAUUUUAAUAGAAUUUUAUUUUUUAGUUAAAAAGCUAAAAUUAUGUUGAAAGACGAGAAGACCCUAUAGAUCUUUAUAAAUAGUUUUUUUAAUAAUAUUUAGAUGUUUAAAUUAUUAAGAAAGUUAUUAAUUUUAUUGGGGUGAUAUUAAAAUUUGAAAAACUUUUAAUUUAUUCUUUACAUUAAUUUAUGAAUAUAUGAUCCAUUAUUAGUGAUUAUAAAAUUAAGUUACCUUAGGGAUAACAGCGUAAUUUUUUUGGAGAGUUCUUAUCGAUAAUAAAGAUUGCGACCUCGAUGUUGGAUUAAAAAUAAUAUUAGGUGUAGUAGCUUAUUAAUUAAGUCUGUUCGACUUUUAAUUUUUUACAUGAUCU
rnacentral:rRNA from 1 species